AAGCCCCUUCAUUUUGGAAAUCUCUUCUUUUAGCUUUUGCACUUAUCAGCAGUGUGGUGAGGAGAAAGGAAGUGCCAGAUUUAUCCCAUGAUCUGAAAUUCGACCACGUAUGAGCAACUGUAUAUGAGAAAGAGCUACUAAAUAAGACAUUCUGUUUCCUGGUGAGGAAGGAGAGAGUAAUGAGCAAAUCAUGCUCCUGGUGUUAUAUACCCAGUCAUUCAACAGGAUCUCCCAACUAGAGCAAAAUGGAAAAAGGUUGUCUGUUCACUCUGACUAUGCAGCCAUAAAAAGAAAGGAGAUCAUGUCCUUUGGCAGGACAUGGAAGAGCUGGAAGCCAUUAUCCUCAACAAAUUAACACAGGAACGGAAAACCAAACACCACAUGUUCUCACUUAUAAGUGGGAGUUCAACAAUGAGAACACAUGGUCACAGGGAGGGGAACAACACACAUUGGAGCCUGUCAGAGGAGGUAGGGGAGGGAGAGCAUUAGGAUAAAUAGCUAAUGAAUGUGGGCUUAAUACCUAAGUGAUGGAUUGAUAGGUGCAGCAAACCAUCAUGGCACACGUUUACCUAUGUAACAAACCUGCACACCCUGUAUAUGUAUCCAAG
rnacentral:lncRNA from 1 species